UGAAAUUAACAUGGAGGAUAUUUGUACAGCCAUUUCCAUAGCAGCGUCAUUCACAAUAGCCAAAAGGUGGACGCAACCCAUGUGUUCAUCAGCAGAUAGAUGAAUAAACAAAGCAUAUCGCAUAUAUUCAUAAGUGAAAUAUUAUUCAGUUUUAAAAAGGAAGGAAAUUCUGACACAUGCUAAGCAUGAAUGAACCUUGCAAGCAUGAUGCUAAGUGAAACAAGCCAGUCACAAAUGGGCAAAUACUGUAUGAUUC